CCUUCGGGUGUCAGCGGCAGACGGGUGAGUAACACGUGGGAACGUACCCUUUGGUUCGGAACAACUCCGGGAAACUGGAGCUAAUACCGGAUACGCCCUUCGGGGAAAGAUUUAUCGCCAAAGGAUCGGCCCGCGUCUGAUUAGCUAGUUGGUGAGGUAACGGCUCACCAAGGCGACGAUCAGUAGCUGGUCUGAGAGGAUGAUCAGCCACACUGGGACUGAGACACGGCCCAG
rnacentral:rRNA from 1 species